rnacentral:rRNA from 1 species
GACGAACGCUAGCGGCGUGCUUAACACAUGCAAGUCGAACGGAAAGGCCCUGCUUUUGUGGGGUGCUCGAGUGGCGAACGGGUGAGUAACACGUGAGUAACCUGCCCAUGACUUUGGGAUAACUUCAGGAAACUGGGGCUAAUACCGGAUAGGAGCUCCUGCUGCAUGGUGGGGGUUGGAAAGUUUCGGCGGUUGGGGAUGGACUCGCGGCUUAUCAGCUUGUUGGUGGGGUAGUGGCUUACCAAGGCUUUGACGGGUAGCCGGCCUGAGAGGGUGACCGGCCACAUUGGGACUGAGAUACGGCCCAGACUCCUACGGGAGGCAGCAGUGGGGAAUAUUGCACAAUGGGCGGAAGCCUGAUGCAGCAACGCCGCGUGCGGGAUGACGGCCUUCGGGUUGUAAACCGCUUUCGCCUGUGACGAAGCGUGAGUGACGGUAAUGGGUAAAGAAGCACCGGCUAACUACGUG